rnacentral:rRNA from 1 species
UACGAAGGGUGCAAACGUUGCUCGGAAUUAUUGGGCGUAAAGCGCACGUAGGCGGUUUGUUGCGUCGGCUGUGAAAUCCCGAGGCUCAACCUCGGGUCUGCAGUCGAUACGAGCAAACUAGAGUGUUGCAGGGGAGACUGGAAUUCCUGGUGUAGCGGUGAAAUGCGCAGAUAUCAGGAGGAACACCGGUGGCGAAGGCGGGUCUCUGGGCAACAACUGACGCUGAGGAGCGAAAGCGUGGGGAGCGAACAGG